ACACAGGCUUCAUCCUGAACAGAUACGAUGUACAGAGCAUCGCACUGGCUGGCCCAUAGGGUUCUUGUGGGAGAGGCCAGGCCUCUGUGACCAUGAAAGGGGUUGCAACUGAUACAGUCAGGGAGGGAUCCCAGGAAGGGGAGUGAUUCCCUUAAAUUUGCUUGUUGAAACCCGUAUCUGGCAGGGGAAAGGAGGAUCCGGUGCAGAGCUUGGAUUCAGCAGAGGUGGCUGUUGAUGUGACCAGUCCCCCUGUUUGGGUGGGAAGGCCCUGAAUGACACAUGCAGCAAGCUUUCAGCCUCGGAGGGCAGUACAUCCUAAAGUGAAUCACCAACUUAAUUAUUCCUCUGCAAAUUACCAUCAGUGAUACGAGAUUCAACGACAAGGAGCUGUGAGAGCGCACAGGAAGGGAGCUCAUUUCUGGGGCUUUACCCCAUAAAGACAAAGAAACUGGCUGAGGAGACAAGAGAAAGAAAGUAGCAGAAGAUGGGAAGGAAACAGACGGAGUCUCACUUGUGUUGCCAAGAGAGCUUGAGCAUCAACUGGCAGUGAGGAUGGC
rnacentral:lncRNA from 10 species